rnacentral:rRNA from 1 species
UACGUAGGGUGCAAGCGUUGUCCGGAAUUAUUGGGCGUAAAGAGCUCGUAGGCGGUUUGGUAAGUCGGGUGUGAAAUCUCCACGCUCAACGUGGAGGGGCCACUCGAUACUGCCAUGACUCGAGUCCGGUAGAGGAGUGUGGAAUUCCCGGUGUAGCGGUGAAAUGCGCAGAUAUCAGGAGGAACACCGGUGGCGAAGGCGGGUCUCUGGGCCGUAACUGACGCUGAGGAGCGAAAGCGUGGGGAGCAAACAGG